CAGCAAAAAAGAGGUGUGCCAGGUUCUGGAAAAUAACCUGAAAGAGGGGCUCGAAACCAUUGGUCAAUCUAUGGAUGAGGCUUAUGAAGCUUUUGAACGAUGCCUCUCAGAAGGAGUUCGACAGUCAGUAGAAACGUGAGAAAAUUGCCAAGGAUAAAGUGAUAGAACCAAAGGGAAGAAAUGGCAGAGGGUAUCAUAAGGUAUUGAAGUCCUUAUGCAAGAAUAACGGAGUUUACAAACCAAUCAG